GUUAUGGGUGUGCCAGUGGGGGCGUUAAUGUAGGGGUGGCAGGGGUGUUUGGGAAUGAGUGGGCGGAAAGCGCGGGUAUGCGAUGUGUUAUGUCGGGGGGGAAAGCCGUCAGCGUAACUGAGGAAGGGCGCCCGAAACUGGCGAGCUUGAGUACCGGAGAGGAGAGCGGAACACCCGGUGUAGAGGUGAAAUUCGUAGAUAUCGGGUAGAACACCAGUGGCGAAGGCGGCUCUCUGGACUGAUACUGACGCUGAGACGCGAAAGCGUGGGGAGCAAACAGGAUUAGAUACCCCGGUAGUC
rnacentral:rRNA from 1 species